CCGCAGCAGAGGCCGGAAGGUCUGCGUGCCUUCUGGGUAGUGUAGGCAGUAAGGGGAGUGGGCCGCACCAAAUUCGUCAGGAGGGGGACACUAUCAAACUGUAAUUUAAAGUAAUCACGUAAGGUGCUCUAGAGUGCAUACGUUAGGAAGGGGUAUCUGAGCGCUUACUCUCCGGGAAUUUUGGACCCUCGCGCCUUUGCCUGGCUUGCUUUCGCAGCGGCCUGCGCUCGCGCUCCCCCCGGAAGUGCAGGACCGGACUUCCGGUGGGCUCGGGCGUCCGCGCGAGGCGGCGGCGGCGGCGGCUGCUGUGAGGAGGCGGUGGCGGCUCCCACCGUAACGUUCCCUGACGAAGCGCAUCUGCGAGGCGGAGGCGUCCACCAUGUUCUCCUUCAACAUGUUUGACCACCCGAUUCCCCGGGUCUUCCAGAACCGCUUCUCCACGCAGUACCGCUGCUUCUCCGUGUCCAUGCUCGCGGGGCCUAAUGACAGGUCAGAUGUGGAGAAAGGAGGGAAGAUAAUUAUGCCACCCUCAGCCCUCGACCAACUCAGUAAGUACUUUCUACCUGACUUGAGAACAGAGGUGAUGUGAACGUGGGCGCUGGGACCAGGCACAGACCCCUCGCCGCCCAGGCAGAGGCAUCUUUCGGCGAGGCUGGUUGGGAAUUGUCCCUGGAGGGUGCUAGCUGGGCUGGGAGGCCGGGGCCAGUGGGCGCUCGGCUCUGGGUCCACUCCUCUGGCACCCAAACCCCACCCCGGGUCCUAUUAGGACUAAAGGAAGGUGUGAGCACUGGUGCUCUUCACGCUGAUGGGGCAGCCGAUGUCCUUGGCUGCACGCACUAAAUUUUCCCCUAAAGGAUGGUGGCGGCCCCCAAGAGGACGCCGCGUGCAGGUCUUUCAUCUCCCCAAGCCUCUUGCCUCAGCUACAGCCGCAGUUCUAACCCCUCUUCCCCAGGAGCUGCUCCCCUUGCCCCGUCCUGCCUCUUACCAGGAGCAAGAAAGGCCCAGGGUUGGGAGAUUGGCCAUGUUUUUCCCCCUUUCCCCAACUCCCCACUCCCAUGGGAGCAGCUCGGAGACCUCACACCCCUGGCCCCACUCCACCCGGACUAGGAUGCCCCAACCAUGGGCACAGUCAUUGCCUUUUGAGACUUGGGGGUCUUUUUGGUGUGGGUUCUGAGGCAGGAGAUGUGGUGGCUUCUGGGCCGGGAGGGUCCACGCUCUGUGUUGGGUGCACAUUGGGCAGCUCGGUAAGGGCCAGGUGCCAGCUCUGGUGUGGCUCCAGCUUGGGCUCUGCACCUUGCCCAGCCUGACUCCAGGCUAGUGACUGGGCCUUUCUGGACCUUGGUGUCCUCACCUUUAAAUGGGGGCAUGACGCCAUCUGUGGGGACUGCUCUGCGGCAGGAGUGCCUCCUGGAUGGUACCUGUGGUGUGUGUGUAAACAACCAGGGCCCUGUGGCACCAGGCAGGGGCAGGAGGUGGCCCUUAGCCAGCAGGGCCUAACUGACGGCAGCAGUGGUUGCACCCGCAGAGGGAGGCCUUUAGCUCUGCCAGAGGGUGGGUAGAGC